rnacentral:sRNA from 1 species
GGGAUGACGUCAAGUCCUCAUGGCCCUUAUGUGUUGGGCUACACACGUGCUACAAUGGUAUUUACAGUGGGAUGCAAAGAGGCAACUCCAAGCUAACCCCUAAAGAAUACCUCAGUUCGGAUUGUACUCUGCAACUCGAGUACAUGAAGCUGGAAUUACUAGUAAUCGCGGAUCAGCGCGCCGCGGUGAAUACGUUCCCGGGUCUUGUACACACCGCCCGUCACACCAUGGAAGUUGGUUACACCUUAAGGCAAAGUGUAAAAUCUUUGACUACGGUACGAUCAGCGACUGGGGUGAAGUCGUAACAAGGUAGCCGUAGGGGAACCUGCGGCUGGAUCACCUCCUUUCUAAGGAAAUCGAAAAAUAUUAAAUCAAUUAUUUUCGAUUUAAAAAAAACCGGUAAUGUGACCGUCCUCAUUUCUCUUCUUUUAGUGUCUCUGAGUAAAAGUGAUGUAAGGGGGCCGGUAGCUCAGUUGGUUAGAGCGCACCCCUGAUAAGGGUGAGGUCGGAAGUUCGAGUCUUCCUCGGCCCACCAAUAUUAUGGGGGAUUAGCUCAGCUGGGAGAGCGCCUGAUUUGCAUUCAGGAGGCCAGCGGUUCGAUCCCGCUAUCCUCCACCAAAGUUUGAGACAUUUAGCUUUUUUAAAUUGUGAAUAUUAUUAAUAUUAUCAAUAUCUAUAUCCGAUUAUUUUCAGAUAUUUUUUUGAAAAUAAUCAAAACAAAAAUUUGAAUUUUACACAGAAAGUUUUUUUCUGUGCAUAAAUCAAGCGUUUAAGGGCGAUUGGCGGAUGCCUUGGCACUGUAAGACGAUGAAGGACGUGGUAUACUGCGAUAAG